UGGCUGCGGCAGAUCGGUUACGAGGAUCUUGUCCUCGUAACUUCAAGUGAAGGAAAUUCAAGGAAAAAUGUAUUGCGGCACCCUGAUUAUGGGCAUUUUAGGGAGGGAAACUAAGACAAACAUCACAGUCAACUCGCACCACCCGCCCAUUGAAUUUUCAUUGAUUGGGUGAUUUUGAGUGAGCUAUCUUAUAAAACCCAACAAAAUGAACAUGUUUGGGUAAUUUGGUGAACGCACUAGCAAAGAGCAUUGUGGUAUUGAGCUAGUUUGAUCGAAAACAGUUGUGACUGUUGUGGAAGUUUAGUCUUGGAUUGAAAUCUUAGAUCCAUAAAUCAACAUGUCUCCACGGAUAGAAAACUUCAUUCAGUAUAAGGAUAAUAGUGAUAAUAUUCUGUUAGUGGAUUUGACCCAGAGGGACUGUGAAAUUCGUGCUUGGAUUCAGGACUACGUAGCAAAAACUUACGGAGAUCAGCUUCAGACUUUCUACCUGAGAUUCAUGGAUCAGGCUAGAACCACUUGUUGGAUUCAGCCUAGCUUCACAGUCAAAACAGCUUUCAAAUUUGCUCGUCGGCGUUUGAAUGGAGCGCCUGUUGUCUAUUUGAGCGUGUGGCCCCGACUUCGUUCAAUGUUAGACAUCAAAACUGAGGUCGAUCAAAAAGUGUUUGAUUGACUUUUAACGAUGUCUAGUGCUACACAAGUAACAAUAUACAACAGUGCAGACAGACGUCAGUGAAACCAGUCUGAAAUUUGAGGGCUUCAAAGUGGCACCACACUUAUGAAUGGGGCACACAUUUCCCAACAACCAAUAUCCAGAUUGUCAUUGCUUGCAAUGUCGUAAGCACUGUUCAUCAUCAUGUUAUUUGAGACGACACCUCGAAAACCCAAAAACACACGUUAAUUGUCAAGAGUCGGCCCACGAGCACAAGUAUGUUUGUGAUGCGUUUGAAAGUAUAGUUGCUGACAAGACAUGGUUGCAUUCGCAAGAGCAGCUCGAUAAGACAUUGAGCAUUGCUUUCUCGAAUCCAAAUCAUGACGUACCAAUGCCGCCAUCGUCGGUCACGAGAGCCAGUCCUGACCUGCGACCCUGGUAAAAGGAGGAAAGUGACCAGCAAGCCAACUUACCCUUCAUGCACAGCCCAAUAAUUUACGAUUGACAUUAAAAUUUAAUGACAUUUUGAUGAUAAUACAAUUGGAUCAGAAUCCUCGACGCCUUUAUGUGGAUCACGAAAUGGACAAGUAAAAUUCGGACUUCACAAAGAUUUGCAACUUGAUGGAACAAUACGAUUUUCGAGCCUUCUCCUUUGAAGAACUAGAUCUUCCUACUAUACCAAGUACCAUAGAAAAUAAAGUGAUCAAAACAGGGCGGACAGAGUAUUAUUAUAAACAGUCUGUCCAAAAAU